UACGUAGGGGGGCUAGCGUUGUCCGGAAUCAUUGGGCGUAAAGCGCGCGUAGGCGGCCAGAUAAGUCCGGUGUGAAAGUCACAGGCUCAACCUGUGAAUGCCGCUGGAAACCAUCUGGCUAGAGUCCGGAAGAGGAGAGUGGAAUUCCUGGUGUAGCGGUGAAAUGCGCAGAUAUCAGGAAGAACACCGGUGGCGAAGGCGGCUCUCUGGGCCUUACCUGACGCUGAGGAGCGAAAGCGUGGGUAGCGAACAGG
rnacentral:rRNA from 1 species